UAACGGCGAGUGAAGCGGGAAAAGCUCAAAUUUGAAAUCUGGCGGUCUACGGCCGUCCGAGUUGUAGUCUAGAGAGGUGUCUUCUGCGUCGGACCAUGCACAAGUCCCUUGGAACAGGGCGUCAUAGAGGGUGAGAAUCCCGUCCGUGGCAUGGACUCCCGGUGCUUUGUGAUGCGCCUUCGAAGAGUCGAGUUGUUUGGGAAUGCAGCUCAAAAUGGGUGGUAAAUUCCAUCUAAGGCUAAAUACAGGCGAGAGACCGAUAGCGAACAAGUACCGUGAGGGAAAGAUGAAAAGCACUUUGGAAAGAGAGUUAAACAGUACGUGAAAUUGUUGAAAGGGAAACGCUUGGAGUCAGUCGCGUUUGCCGGGACUCAGCCUUGCUUCUGCUUGGUGCACUUCCUGGUACACGGGCCAGCAUCGAUUUUGAUCGCCGGAAAAAGGCUUGGGGAAGGUGGCACCUUCGGGUGUGUUAUAGCCCCUUGUUGUAUACGGUGGUUGGGAUUGAGGACCGCAGCACGCCUUUUGGUCGGGGUUCGCCCACGCCACGUGCUUAGGAUGC
rnacentral:rRNA from 1 species